rnacentral:SRP_RNA from 1 species
GCUUGGGGUGCAGUGACAUGUGCCUAUAGUCUCAGCUACUUGGGAGGCUGAGGCAGAAGGAUUGCUUGAGUCCAAGAGUUCUGGGCAAUUGGACACUAUGCUGAUCAGGUGUCUGCACUAAAUUCGGCAUCAAUAUGGUGACCUCCCAGGAGUAGGGGACCACCAGGUUGCUUAACAAGUGGUGAACCAGCCCAGGCCAGAAACAGAGCAAAUCAAAGCUCUCAUGCUGAUCAGUAGUGGAAUCACUCCUGUGAAUAGCCACUGCACUCCAGCCUGGGCAACAUAGUGAGAACCCAUCUCU